rnacentral:lncRNA from 1 species
CCAAUGUCCUGAAAUUUCCCUUGACCUGCCCUGAUGGAAAUCUGGACGUGUGGCUUAUCUGCUGUGCUAGGGCUCAGGAUGGACAAGGUAGCCCAGAGCUGGACCAACUGCCAAGAGGAGUCCCUUCUGCCCUCUGCCCUCUCAACAAUAAGACUGGCUCCGCCUCCCUCCCACUGGGCAGUCCCCAUUGCUCCAACUGCCUCCUCUGUUGCACCCAGGAACUCAUCUGGGCUCCAGCCUGAGGGAGUCAGGCCCAUCUCAUUCUCCAGGCAGGACUGAAACUGGGCAGGCAAGAAUUUGGGUCUGACCCCAGGCUGCCUGCCUUGUUAAAUAAGACCAACCUAGAAAACAAACAAAGAGUGAAAACCUCCAAACCCACCUG